GGUUCAAAAGCCCUUUUUUCAAACACGGAAAACAGAAUAUUGCACGUCCUCAUCGAGCUGUCGGUGGCGGCCAUACUUCAUUCACACGCAGGUGUGCGCUACGUAAAUGUUCCCUCGCGGCUUCAUUCACACGUCAUAGAAAACGUCAGAUUAUCUGUCGUGUUUUUUUUCUAAUCCUUCUCUCCAAUCAUUUUGUUUGAGACGCUGAUUUGUCGUCGUGCUGCGAGCUGAUUGGUCGGACAGUUUCAACAACUAUCGAGGCCCAUCUGCAAGGCUCGAGUGUCUCCUAGUAGCUCGGCCAGUUGCGGCCUGAACCGACAGCCCCGGUGCAUUCACUGCCUGCCGGCUCUCGGAUGGUGGAAUUCAUCCUCUAUCUGGAAGAACUCAGGCGUUGGCUGCUGAGUGGACCAACUGGCUGCCGCACUGUUGGAGAUAUCCGUUUUCGGAGGCGUUCCACCUCGAGGGACGGGGUCGUCUCCGUCUUUUCUCACACACACACUGGUGUUGUGUGACUGCAGUGACCCUCCACUGACAACAUUAAGCCAAACUAAUCCCAAUUACAGUGUAAAGGUGGAGUUGUUGACCACCGGAGGCCCGUGUGGAGCAACGAGACACUAAAAUAGAAAAUACACUCAUUGUGCCUGAUAGAUAGUCAAUAAAGUCCCCUCUAUCAUCCAUGCAAAAUAAAUGUGAUGAGCAAAAAAUCAAUUAUUGGAAUCUAAAAGCAUUAGUCAUCUGUUGAUGCAGCUCAGGACAGGCUGCUCUCUGAUUGGCUCCCAGCUCUGAUGAUG